UACACACCGCCCGUCACACCAUGGGAGUGGAUUGCUCCAGAAGGGGCUGAGCUAACCCGCAAGGGAGGCAGGCCCCCAAGGAGUGUUUCGUAACUGGGGUG
rnacentral:rRNA from 1 species